CUCCCCCUCCCUGGGCCCCUCGGGCGCAUGUUCCCAUCAUCUCCGUGUGGCGGGGAGCUCAGCUUCGCAGGGUCCUACCAGGUGCCCAGAGCCCCUGACCGACCAGCCCGGACCCGCGGGAAGGGUCCCCCCGGGGCAGUGCCAAGAGCGCCCACCAGGGGGCAGGGGCGGGCCGGGAACGGGCGGGCGGCGGCUCCUCCGGGCUCCUGCCGAACGGACCGCGCUGGGGGCUGGGACUGACGGUCAGGUCCGCGUCGUCCUGAGCUGGGCCAGGCCGGGUGCCAGGACCCUUGUCGGCGCAUCCGCCCUCACAUAUUGCCCCCUGGGGAAGGUCCUAGGACUGCUUCUCUCAGACGGGAAACUGAGGCACAGAGUCUCGCAGCUGGUGGAGCUGGGGUUCAAGUCCAGGCAGAGCCUUUGGGCUUAUGAGGGAGACUACCCCACAGACGGCGGGCAGCUCCCCAAGGCCCCAGGAGGAGGAGCUGUGCCCAGAGCAGAGAGAAAGAACUGCUGCGCAAAGGCCCUGAGGUGGGGACCAGAUGGGGACACUGAGGCAGGUCUCGUGGGCGACGCGUGGCUGCGGGGGGUGCUGCGAGGCUGGAUGGAGAGUCAAGGGGGCCCCCAGGCAGUGUGUAAGAAGGAUGCUGCUGCUGUGAAGAUGCGGCCGCGGUCUGUUACUGGUGGUUCCCAAUAACAGUGCGUAGGCGUCGGAUCUGAGACAUCAGACCCCAGCGCUAAAUCCAGUGGCUUCACAUAGAGACGACGCUGCCUUGUGGCCACAUUCCUGAGCACCUACUGUGUGCCAGGCAAGGUGCUGCUAGCUUUCCCACGGCUCGUCACACAGCCACCCCUGCGCCUCAGCCUGCGGGGAGAGAAGGCCUGGGUCAUGGGGCUGAGAGGCUUCUCAGAGGAGGUGACCUAUGAACAGAGCCCCAAGGGCCGAGGAGAAGAGUGUUGGCACCAAAGGGACAGCCUGUGCAAGGGCCCUGGGGCAGGAGUGAGCUUUAUAGGGAACAGUGGGGGGCAGUGUGGGUGGGGAACAGGGAAUGGAGAGCUUUGCAGGGUCCCAGCAAGGCCUCAUC
rnacentral:lncRNA from 1 species